rnacentral:misc_RNA from 1 species
AAGAAUGUACAACUUAUUCCGUAGAGUUACUAAUGGCCUUGCAACAAUAAGAGAUGUAAUGACUUCUCACAUCAGAGAGAUAGGUAAACAGCUCGUUACCGAUCCUGAGAAGCUGAAAGAUCCUGUCGAAUUUGUUCAGUGUCUCUUGAAUGAGAAGGAUAAAUAUGAUAACAUAAUAGUCUUGGCAUUCAACAAUGACAAGACUUUCCAGAAUGCCUUAAACUCAUCUUUUGAGUUCUUCAUUAACCUCAAUCCGCGUUCUCCUGAGUUUAUUUCAUUAUUUGU